rnacentral:rRNA from 1 species
UGAGGAAUAUUGGGCAAUGCCCGCAAGGGUGACCCAGCAACGCCGCGUGGAGGAUGAAUGUCGUAAGAUUGUAAACUCCUGUUAGAGGGGAAGAAUAGUACCGGUUGGACCGGUAUAUGACUGUACCCUCAGAGAAAGCCCCGGCUAACUACGUGCCAGCAGCCGCGGUAAUACGUAGGGGGCAAGCGUUGUCCGGAUUUACUGGGUGUAAAGGGCGCGCAGGCGGGAUAAAAAGUCAGUGGUGAAAUCCUACAGCUUAACUGUAGAACUGCCUUUGAUACUUUUAUUCUUGAGUUCGGGAGAGAGAGACGGAAUUCCAGGUGUAGUGGUGAAAUACGUAGAUAUCUGGAAGAACACCAGUUGCGAAGGCGGUCUCUUGGUCCGACACUGACGCUGAGGCGCGAAAGCGUGGGGA